GUUGCCGUAUAAUUCAUCCCUUUGACCCUAAUGCUCAAAGUGAUCUGAGACUUAACUGUCAACCCAGAAAAGGUUAUCAACAUUGUAUUUCAACUUUUCAAAUCCAUCACAUGGAUUAUCCUAAUCGAGGUUUUACUAAAAUAAAAUAUAGUGAUGUAUUAACUCCUACUUAUUUGGAGGGGUCAAUUUCAUCUUGACUCACACACUGACUUUGAAAGUAUCUGAUUGUGCUUAGAAAUCUUUCAUUAUUGAAUUAGAAAUUUAGGUAGUCUAGCAUCAAAGUAUAG
rnacentral:lncRNA from 1 species